UUGAAGUGAAAAAAAAAAAAAAUUUCUAAUCAUAAUCGAAACUGAUUAGAUUCAGACUCAAAUAAUUUUAAUAGGUCUCAUGUUGACCAGAAAAUUUUGGGGCCAAUAAUUACAAUUUAAAAUCCACAAUAAGCCCAUUUAAAAAUAUAAUUGGGUGGGCCUUACGAAAGCCCAAACAAAUAAAAAAAAAAAAGUGAGAGGGGGCCUCAUUCCAGCCCGUUAAAUAUUAUCAUUUGGGCCCAAUAAAUUAAAGCGGGCCUAAUCAACGACGGCCCACAUCCACAUCAUAUAAAAUAUCGGUUCGAAAUUUGAUUUCAAAUCACAAUCCAUUCAAAAUUCGAUUUUUGAAUUUCGAAUUUCGAACUCCCAACCAAUUCCCAAAAUAUCAUCCAACAACCCAUUCAAAGUUCAAUUUCGAAUUUUGAAUUCCCUAACAAAUUUUCAAAAUAUCAUUCAACAAUCCAUUCAAAAUUCGAUUUCGAAUUUUGACCCAACAACCCAUUCGAAAUUCGAUUUCGAAUUUCGAAUUUCGAAUUUCGAAUUUCAAAUUUCGAAUUCCCAACCAAUUCCCAAAACAUCCUCUAACAACCCAUUCGAAAUUCGAUUUCGAAUUUCGAAUUCCCAACCAAUUCCCAAAAUAUCAUCCAACAACCCAUUCGAAAUUCGAUUUCGAAUUUCGAAUUCCCAACCAAUUCCCAAAACAUCAUCCAACAACCCAUUCGAAAUUCGAUUUCGAAUUUCGAAUUCCCAACUAAUUCCCAAAACAUCCUCCAACAACCCAUUCAAAAUUUGAUUUCAAAUUUCGAAUCAAUCCUCAAAAUAUCCUCCAACCAUCCAACAACCCAUUCAAAAUUCGAUUUCGAAUUUUGAAUUUUCAACCAAUCCCAAAUAUCUUUCAACCAACCACAACAACCUAUUCAAAAUUCAAUUUUGAAUUUCGAAUCCCUCAAAAUAUCUCUCACCACCCCUCCCAUUAUAAAUACGAGAAUCAAGAUCAAUACGGGGGAUGAUACGAUUUUACAAAAAAAAAAGAUAGAUUGCUACACACAUUCCCACGUACAAAAUAUUCAAAGGAGGAAAGAUCGCCGAGCCGCGGAAAGGAGGAGAGAUCACUCGAGCUGCGGAAAGGAGGAGAGAUCGCCGAGCCGCGGAAAGGAGGAAAGAUCGCCGAGUCGCAGAAAGGAGAAGAGAUCACUCGAACCGCUGAAAGGAGGAGAGAUCGCCGAGCCGCGAAAAGAAGGAGAGAUCGUUGAGCCGCUUCAUCCAAUCCAUCAACAGGUAGAAAAAAAAA
rnacentral:lncRNA from 1 species